UUGCACGCUGGCGGCAUGCCUUACCCCUGCCAGUCGCACGGUAACAGGUUAAGCUGACGCGUGGCGAACGGGUGAGUAAUACAUCGGAACGUGCCCAGUAGUGGGGGAUAGCCCGGCGAAAGCCGGAUUAAUACCGCAUACGACCUAAGGGUGAAAGGGGGGGAUCGCAAGACCUCUCGCUAUUGGAGCGGCCGAUGUCAGAUUAGCUAGUUGGUGGGGUAAAAGCUCACCAAGGCGACGAUCUGUAGCUGGUCUGAGAGGACGACCAGCCACACUGGGACUGAGACACGGCCCAGACUCCUACGGGAGGCAGCAGUGGGGAAUUUUGGACAAUGGGCGCAAGCCUGAUCCAGCCAUGCCGCGUGCGGGAAGAAGGCCUUCGGGUUGUAAACCGCUUUUGUCAGGGAAGAAAUCCUUUGGGUUAAUACCUCGGGGGGAUGACGGUACCUGAAGAAUAAGCACCGGCUAACUACGUG
rnacentral:rRNA from 1 species